AUGGCUUCAUGUGGAUACCAGCAGAGGUCGGACGUAUGUGCGGCUACAGUCAGAACUCGGAACAUCCACAGGAUCCGAGGUAUAGAGAUCUGAUCUCCGUUUAUUUUUCUAAGCAAUUGUUUUUAUGUUUCAGAUUUCAGAUCAUGGGUACAUGCUCGUAUCAAGAUUCUUACUAUGAUUUUCAGAUCUGAUUUGGUAUAUGGAUAAAUUUAAAUUAUUUUAAUUUAUUUAUUUCUGCUGCGUAGAUGUUUAGAAAAAUUUUUGAACUACACGUAUGAAACCA
rnacentral:lncRNA from 1 species